UGGGGAAUUUUGGACAAUGGGCGAAAGCCUGAUCCAGCAAUGCCGCGUGUGUGAAGAAGGCCUUCGGGUUGUAAAGCACUUUUGUCCGGAAAGAAAUCCUUGGCUCUAAUACAGUCGGGGGAUGACGGUACCGGAAGAAUAAGCACCGGCUAACUACGUGCCAGCAGCCGCGGUAAUACGUAGGGUGCAAGCGUUAAUCGGAAUUACUGGGCGUAAAGCGUGCGCAGGCGGUUUGCUAAGACCGAUGUGAAAUCCCCGGGCUCAACCUGGGAACUGCAUUGGUGACUGGCAGGCUAGAGUAUGGCAGAGGGGGGUAGAAUUCCACGUGUAGCAGUGAAAUGCGUAGAGAUGUGGAGGAAUACCGAUGGCGAAGGCAGCCCCCUGGGCCAAUACUGACGCUCAUGCACGAAAGCGCGGGGAGCAAACAGGAUUAGAUACCCUGGUAGUCCACGCCCUAAACGAUGUCAACUAGUUGUUGGGGAUUCAUUUCCUUAGUAACGUAGCUAACGCGUGAAGUUGACCGCCUGGGGAGUACGGUCGCAAGAUUAAAACUCAAAUGAAUUGACGGGGUCAUAGCUGUUUCCU
rnacentral:rRNA from 1 species